rnacentral:rRNA from 1 species
UACGUAGGGACCAAGCGUUGUUCGGAUUUACUGGGCGUAAAGGGCGCGUAGGCGGCAAUUCAAGUCAGCUGUGAAAUCUCCGGGCUUAACUCGGAACGGUCAGCUGAUACUGCUUUGCUAGAGUGCAGAAGGGGCAAUCGGAAUUCUUGGUGUAGCGGUGAAAUGCGUAGAUAUCAAGAGGAACACCUGAGGUGAAGACGGGUUGCUGGGCUGACACUGACGCCGAGGCGCGAAAGCUAGGGUAGCAAACGGG